CCCAAGUCGGAAGCUCAACUGACUGAGCCACCCAGGCAUCCCAAACACUUGAACACUUCAAUGACACAUUAGAAAAAGAUAGGAAGCUGAUAAAAACUGUAGUAUACUUACACACUUUCUAAGUGUUUAGGAAAUAGAUAAAUAAUACAGUAUGAAACUUUACCUUGACAGAGACCUGAAGCUCACUUGGGAGGGGGCCUCAGAAUUACAGCCCGAAGGUUAGUGAAGUGGUGAAGUGAGAGUGAUCUGAAAUCUGUCGGAGAGUUGCAGUGCCAGCUGUGUAUAGGGGUGGCUCACAGCACAGCUGGGAUAGCUGGUAGAUAUUUGAGGUGUGCGCAUGUAUGCCUUUUGUUCAUUCCUAUGCGUCUUGGUUCAGAAGGGUGCAGCUUUCUGCUGUCAUGUGGUUGUUGUCAUUAAUGAAAUUGAGCAUAAGCAACUGUGAAAUUUGUAUCAUGCUCAAUCUGUUCCUUAACUAUAAAUCUCAUUGCAACAGAUUUCUGUUUUCAGAGGAGGCAUCAUAGUAGGGCUCACCACGAUGACACUUCAACCCUGAGUGGCAACAUGAAGACAUACAAAAGCCUGUUUUCCAACUUGCAGAUCAGAGAACAGACCGGGUCCUGGGAGACCAAAUGGUUUCAUGUCAAGUACACAGCACCUGUGACAAAGCUCCUCCCUCUCCCACUUUCUCAGCACUCCAUUUUUGUUCAUGUAUCUACUUCUCCACCAUGUGACUGAGAGAAAGCUUAUCUGGAUACUAGAACCUGAUUUAUCUGAGCCAAUAAAUGCAUGGCAUUGCCCUGGUGACAUUACUUAUUCAGAGUCGGGCAUAAGGAACUAAAUUUGCCCAAUUAUAGUCUAUGAUUGUGGGAGAGGUUUCUUCAGCUCUUUCAUAAGAUCUGAACAAAAGGCAAUGAUUCACUUAAUAUGUCAACAAACUUGGGACCAUGAGGUCCCAAAUCAAGGAGAAGCUGACAGAUAAAAGACAACCAACAGAGAGAUUUUUGAAACCUGAGUUCUUGAUGACAGCACUGAGCUACUGAAAAUAUCAGUCUGAGAAUCCUACUGACUUCUGAGCUUUUUAGUAUGUGAGAUGAUAAAUAUUCCUAUUAAGUUAUUUUGAAUCAUUUUAUUUAACUUGUCAAAAGUAAGUUUCUUUUAAAAUAAUAUAACAUUAAUAGGUGCUUAUAAUCAUAUGAAAACAUUGAAAAGAGAAUCAAAGAAAAUAAAAAGAUCUAUAGCAGUGAUAUCUGGAGAUGCCACUGUUGACAUUAAGGUGUUAAUUGAAAUUUUUUUAGCUUUUGCAGAUAUAGGUUGUAUCUUUUAUAAAUGUUAUUUGAAGGGCUACAUUUAUGUAUUUAUCAAUAAAUUACACUGUUUAUGUCU